rnacentral:rRNA from 1 species
UUGCACGCUGGCGGCAGGCCUAACACCUGCAAGUCGAGCGGAUGAAGGGAGCUUGCUCCUGGAUUCAGCGGCGGACGGGUGAGUAAUGCCUAGGAAUCUGCCUGGUAGUGGGGGAUAACGUCCGGAAACGGGCGCUAAUACCGCAUACGUCCUGAGGGAGAAAGUGGGGGAUCUUCGGACCUCACGCUAUCAGAUGAGCCUAGGUCGGAUUAGCUAGUUGGUGGGGUAAAGGCCUACCAAGGCGACGAUCCGUAACUGGUCUGAGAGGAUGAUCAGUCACACUGGAACUGAGACACGGUCCAGACUCCUACGGGAGGCAGCAGUGGGGAAUAUUGGACAAUGGGCGAAAGCCUGAUCCAGCCAUGCCGCGUGUGUGAAGAAGGUCUUCGGAUUGUAAAGCACUUUAAGUUGGGAGGAAGGGCAGUAAGUUAAUACCUUGCUGUUUUGACGUUACCAACAGAAUAAGCACCGGCUAACUUCGUG